rnacentral:antisense_RNA from 1 species
CGACUCCAUUGAAAAGAACCAUAAUACAUGGAAAAAUUACUAGAAAGUCUAGGAAAACUGACUGAAUGCUUUGGAAAGACACAGUCAAGAUAAAAAAAAAAGUGUCACAAGAAAGUUUACAGAACCUACUCAAACUCAAAGAGAAAUCAGAGACUAAAUUCUCAAAACUGGAAGCCGCCUACAGCAUCCACACUCUUCAGCCCUGUACUAUGUGAUGUGUAUUGCAAAUGGAGCCACCGGCAGUAUUUGUAUGAACAUGAGACAAUGUAUGGCAGAUGCUUGGUGCUUUGUAAUAUUUAGUAAAAUAAAACAAUAAUAAUGUAACUAUAAUA